AGUGAACGCUGGCGGUAGGCCUAACACAUGCAAGUCGAACGGCAGCACAGUAAGAGCUUGCUCUUACGGGUGGCGAGUGGCGGACGGGUGAGGAAUACAUCGGAAUCUACUUUUUCGUGGGGGAUAACGUAGGGAAACUUACGCUAAUACCGCAUACGACCUACGGGUGAAAGCAGUGGAUCUUCGGACCUUGCGCGAUUGAAUUAGCCGAUGUCGGAUUAGCUAGUUGGCGGGGUAAAGGCCCACCAAGGCGACGAUCCGUAGCUGGUCUGAGAGGAUGAUCAGCCACACUGGAACUGAGACACGGUCCAGACCCCUACGGGAGGCAGCAGUGGGGAAUAUUGGACAAUGGGCGCAAGCCUGAUCCAGCCAUACCGCGUGGGUGAAGAAGGCCUUCGGGUUGUAAAGCCCUUUUGUUGGGAAAGAAAAGCAGCAGGUUAAUACCCCGCUGUUCUGACGGUACCCAAAGAAUAAGCACCGGCUAACUUCGUG
rnacentral:rRNA from 1 species